UGGGGAAUAUUGCGCAAUGGGCGAAAGCCUGACGCAGCGACGCCGCGUGCGGGACGAAGGCCUUCGGGUCGUAAACCGCUGUCGGGAGGGACGAAUUCAUGACGGUACCUCCAAAGGAAGCACCGGCUAACUCUGUGCCAGCAGCCGCGGUAAUACAGAGGGUGCGAGCGUUGUCCGGAAUCACUGGGCGUAAAGGGCGCGUAGGUGGCUUGGUAAGUAGGGGGUGAAAUCUUGCGGCUCAACCGCAAGACGGCCUUCUAGACUGCCUGGCUUGAGCACAGUAGAGGCAGGUGGAAUUCCCGGUGUAGCGGUGGAAUGCGUAGAGAUCGGGAAGAACAUCGGUGGCGAAGGCGGCCUGCUGGGCUGUUGCUGACACUGAGGCGCGACAGCGUGGGGAGCAAACAGG
rnacentral:rRNA from 1 species